rnacentral:rRNA from 1 species
UACGAGGGGUGCAAGCGUUGCUCGGAAUUAUUGGGCGUAAAGGGUAGGUAGGUGGUCUCAUUUGUCAGGGGUGAAAGCCUUGGGCUUAACCCAAGGAGUGCCCCUGAAACGGUGAGACUGGAGUCCUGGAGAGGGUCGUGGAAUUCCCGGUGUAGCGGUGAAAUGCGUAGAGAUCGGGAGGAACACCAGAGGCGAAGGCGGCGACCUGGACAGGUACUGACACUCAACUACGAAAGCGUGGGUAGCAAACAGG